GCUAGGCUCGGACCCGGUGGCGAGCAGGGGUCACACUCCCCGCACUGGCAGCUGGCGAGGGGAACCAGGGGAACCAGUCAGUCCCCUGCCGCAGCUGUCGGCUCCAGGGUUACUGAGUUUAGAGGUUUUCUGAGUUUAGAGGUUCCAGACUUGGGACACCCCGUCGGUUUGUUUUCUCUGGGAGUUUAGAUUACUUCGAUUUGCUGACCUGGCGUCUGGAGGAAACAGAUCAAGAAGAAGCAGCAGGAUGUGGUUAGAUUUCUGGAAGCCAACAAGAUAGAGUUCGAGGAGGUGGACAUCACCAUGUCGGAAGAGCAGAGGCAGUGGAUGUACAAAAACAUUCCCCCUGAGAAGAAGCCUGCGCAGGGCAACCCUCUUCCACCUCAGAUAUUUAAUGGGGAUCGAUACUGUGGAGACUAUGACGGUUUUUUUGAAUCAAAGGAAAGCAACACAGUCUUUUCAUUCCUAGGCUUGAAGCCACGGCCGGCGUCCACGGCUGAACCUUAAAGAGUAGAAGGUGAUGGAGUUGCAUUCUGGAGCAUCCCCUGGUACUCAGCACACACCUGCUUACCUGAUGCAUCACUGUGACAAAGCCACACACAUAACCAGUAACUUCGCCCGGCCUGGAGAAGGUGUCUUUGGAGGACAUGGGAAUAAUGGGGACUGCAUGAUUGCUCUGAGCCAAUCAGGACUAUGGUGGUGGAUUCUCUUCAUUUUCUGAUUUGUCUGCCGUUGCCUCGCUCACCUGAAAGUACUCUCCCCGUUGAUAGGUCAGCUUCCUUAAUGACUGACAGAUAAUUGGGCAGCACUGUCAGGGAGAAAACAUUGGACCUGCCCUAUGUUUUAUUAGAAACCGGUCUUGCAGAAACCCAUUCCUCUGUAAGCUGCCUGCAUCCCUUCCUUGAAACCAUUUUUGCCAGGAUGGUAAUGUCAUUGAAUCUGAAAGAAGAAAGCAAUACUGGCUGACAGAGGACUCUGAGGGUUCUUGUAGAGUCACGAAUGUCACUACUUUGGUACUUUGUAAUAAUGCCUGCUGGAAAAGUUAGAUGCGUCAACUCUGUUCUACGAUGGAAACCCUCACCCCUGUAAAUUCUCCAGGCUUCUCCAAGUGCUUCCAAGACCACCAUUGCAAUAUCAAAUGCUCACAGCCAAGUUACAGGGCAGAAAAGAAUUGCUGUUUUGGCAAGUGUCUCCUUCUUUAUCUCUUGUAAGGGGGAAGUUUCACUAUAUGCAUAAGACUACUUGAAAGAGAUAUUUUAAGAAGUGCACCGCUUACAUAUAGUAAGUUAAUAGAGUCUGCUCUGUCAGUAUGCAAAGGCGUUUUCAGCUCUUGUAGUUUGCUUACACACACAUGCACAUAUAUUUUUAAACGCAGCUCCCCAAAGUAACAGCUGCUUGUUCUAUUUUGUGAAGGUAUUAUAUUUUUGGAGAAAAGAAGUGCUUGGUUAGAUAUAUUUUGUGAACCAUUGACGCCAGUCCUGCCGGGACUAGGACUCAGUGGCAGGACAUUUGCCUAACACACAGAUUCCGCGCUCAGCUCCAGGACACUGGAAAGGAAGAGACCCGGCCGGAUUGCUGUCUACUGUGACUUCCCAUCUCACCUGCCUUUGUCUCUACUCUCCUAGUUCAUACUUCAGACCAGUUCACAGGCUUAGGCUUUUCAGAAUAACACAGACACACAUUCUUGCUUGAUGUAGGAGCACAGUGAGAUUUCAGAGCAGCACAGACAGGAGGGGCUGUCUAGAGCACUGUCCAGAAUAGGCAAAGUCCCUGCUCCUCCUGGUUGAACACUGGUGGACACUGAAGUUUGAUCUCACCGGAGCAGAGAUUGCUUCCCUUUAUCCUGGCAUAUUUAGAGUUAAUUUCACACAUAGGGAUCACCUUGAACAGGAUAAAAGGCUGACUGGAAUCUCCACCUAGCCCUAGCAGCAUGGUGCUGGGCCUUCUGCUCUGAUUCUGAGAAGGAAAUAUUUGAGAAAUUGAAAGAUCAAAAAAGCAGCUCUUUCUGUUACCCCCAUACCAAGAUUUGCUAAACCAGGGCUGGUCUGCAGUAUUUUUUAAGUGCUGAGGCUGAGAUCUUGUUGGAGUCCUAUUGCAACAAGGAGAAAGGUGGACAGCUUUCUUUAUGAAUGGACCAAAUGAUUGAUGCCCAAUUUUCUCUCCAAGGAAAGCUUGUCAGGUUAUGGUUGUUAGUGGCUCGUUGGUAUUAAACAAGAUCCAAGUAAAAUUCCAUUUGAUAAAUCCCAGGGAGUUGCCAGAGUUUCAUGUUUUGUGUUUUAUUUUUCCCCCUCCAACUGGAUAUUGUGCUUGAAUUUGUGAGUCUUCUGACAUGAUACAUUUCUAUUUAAAAUAGAGUAAUUUUUUUUUAAAAUUGUUUGUAAAAAUCAACCCAGGUUACAUUGAUCUACUUACUUAUAUGGAGUCUAUCUACUCUUGCCAGUGAGUGCCAAGAACCAGUUCAGCAAAGUGAAGUCUAAGCAUGUUUUAGAUUGUAGGAGCAAUAACCUUACAAUGUUGAGGAGACAGAGAAAGCUACCACGAUGUGUCAUACAACUUUUUAAUUGUCCAUACCAUACCUACUAUGACUGUGUUAAAGACACUGAAUAGAUGGUCUUCUUAGAAUUAGAUAUGCUAUCACAGUUGCAUAUCGUUUCCCUGCCAUGAUUCUUCUGGGAGCACUGGGGAGUCAGCCAAGAAAAAUGAGAUUAGAGGCAGUGGCUUGUUUUAGUGUCCAGAAGGCCAGUGUGGAGUCAACCGCAGUUCCCAGACAACAGUGUGUGCAGACCAUGCUGGAUCUCGAAUGAUUUCCAGUCUGCCUGUCUGACUCACUUCUCUGCUUUCCUUCUUUCUUUCCCUCUUUCUGUUUGUUGUUGUUUGAGACAGUCUUGCUCUAGAGACCUGGACCUCACUUCUGCUUCUGCCUCCCAAGUGCUAGGAUCACUUACUUGCUGAAAUAGUUCUUCUGAUUCCCUUUAAUUAGCUUGCCUUUAGACUGGGUCACCACCAUCUUCAAAGCCUGGGGAAGAAGUGCAGGCAUGGCUGUAAUGCCAGUGGCUCUCAAGACGUAGUGUUGACUUCCUGUCGGUUUGUGGACAAAGGGAGUGUGCUGCUGCUGACUAGACGGUGCCUUUUGAACAUUAGCUGAGCGUGAAAUACCAUACUGCUAGGUAUCUGCAGACCAGAAGACAAUUUAGUUCAGGAACUACUUUGCCUAAUUCUGGGGGGUUGUUAAAAUCGAAGAGAAAAAGGAAAUAUUUUGCCCUUAGAUGCGAAUAUAUUUUAGGCUUUCUUUACCUGCUUUAUAAAGUUAACCCAAUAUUUACAUUUUCAUAUUGUGUGAAUUUAACCAUCUGAAUAUGUUUUUCUUUUGUUAUUGAAAGGUACCAAAGGCUUUUUAUGUUUUGUUUGGUUUGUUUGAUUUUAUUGUGGGGUUUUUUUUUUUCUAGAAAUACCUUUUAUAUAGUCUUGUCCCCAAGUGUCUGGGUCUACUUCAGUCUGUGUAAUUGUUUUUUGUUUGUUUGUUUGUUUUGUUUUUUACCUCAGUUUGUUUGUGUUUGUCUCUCAAGGCAUUGGUGAAAUCUCAUAUUUUUUAUUCUGCAUUAAAGGUGAAUAAAUUCCAGAAAACGUGCAUUAUAAAACUGGAGUUCUUUGUUCCCAUUUUCUCUACUUUUCCAACUUUUAUUCUGGAGUUAGCUGGAUCCUUCCUGUUGCACGGGGAAGCUGUGUUUCUUUUCCCAUCCAUAAAAGGGUUAAACAGUUACAGGCACAGAGUUCCUGCAGUGUCUCACUGGAGAGAAUGUUUUGCCUGGGCACACUGGGAGGAGAACAGAGCCCUCUCUGGCCACCCAGGACUAAGGUGGGGUUACUCAGCAGCUAGCUGUCCUAGGUGUACCAUGUGCUCUCCCAGGCACAUCUACACUGGUUACAGAAACCACCAGAGGCCACAACUUCUCUUACUUGAGUUUCCUUAGCAGAAGAAAACAUUUCUGAAGCCAGAGGCUAAGGCUGAACUCACCAAGAAACAGUUGCAGAACUUAAACUCCAGGACAGAUGAAGGGUGGAGGAAGGGGUCAAAAGCAACAAGCUGACAGAAACAUGUCUGCUCAUGAAACCAAAUCAGCAGAGAGCCCUGCCUGUUUGCGACCCAGAUUCCAAGGGGAGGGCUUCCUAGUUCUAGACAUACAGGCCAGGUUAGCAUGACUGUCUUUCCUGCCAGCAUGAAUUAAGUCCUCACAAUGUGAUGGGUCCUGUCUGAGCAGCACAGUAGGAUGAGGCCAGCAAAUGAGCAGAGGGUACAGCCACAGUUAGUGGCAGGCCAGGUAAGUUGUCAGCAUUGGCAUAGCUCAUUGUCAGAAAGGUUAAUGGUGUUUUUUUUCUUCCUAAGACCAUCCUGACCUUUUAGAUCAUGCAAUGGACUAUAUGCAUAUAUACAUACAUAUCUACUGAAGUAUAAAGAGUAAUAAUAACAACCCUGUAUGCCUCCUGCCUGCCUUACUGCCUUUCUCCCGAGGCACCCCAUGUGCCCUUUCCUGACCUUCUCUUUCUCCCUAUUGAAUAGAGAAAGCCUCGCCCUGUAUUUGUGUGGAUCGAAGCCUUCCUGCCCUUAAGCGUUUUGUCUCCAUGUAUGUAUUCUUAAAGAAAAAUAAACAGAGUUAAACCAGA